rnacentral:rRNA from 1 species
GACGAACGCUGGCGGCGUGCCUAAUACAUGCAAGUCGAACGAGAGCGACCGGUGCUUGCACUGGUCAAUCUAGUGGCGAACGGGUGAGUAACACGUGGGUAACCUGCCCAUCAGAGGGGGAUAACAUCCGGAAACGGAUGCUAAAACCGCAUAGGUCUUCGAACCGCAUGGUUUGAAAAGGAAAAGAGGCGCAAGCUUCUGCUGAUGGAUGGACCCGCGGUGCAUUAGCUAGUUGGUGAGGUAACGGCUCACCAAGGCCGUGAUGCAUAGCCGACCUGAGAGGGUGAUCGGCCACAUUGGGACUGAGACACGGCCCAAACUCCUACGGGAGGCAGCAGUAGGGAAUCUUCCGCAAUGGACGCAAGUCUGACGGAGCAACGCCGCGUGAGUGAAGAAGGUUUUCGGAUCGUAAAACUCUGUUGUUAGAGAAGAACAAGUGCUAGAGUAACUGUUAGCGCCUUGACGGUAUCUAACCAGAAAGCCACGGCUAACUACGUG